rnacentral:lncRNA from 1 species
UUUGGUAUAUAGUAUAGCUACGUAAAAAUCCCUUACAAAAUGCAUCGACAGUGAUGUCAACCAUGGGCUUGGCAUGGUACAAUUAGGCCAAGCUAGCCAGAUUUUAAACAUUAUACAUCAACACAUUUUCAAUUAAUUCACAACAUUGUAACAAGGGUAUCAAAUAACAACAUAGCAACAUAUAACAAAAUUGUCAUGAAUAUCACAUUAUUUACUUUAACAAAAUAUUAUAACCUAUGCAACCUUAAUCCGACUUCAACCUUUUAAUGAAUUUUGUUCCCCACAAAGAUAUAAAAUGUCAGGAUUCUAUUUACAUCAACACCACACACAUACGUACUAGAGCAAAAGGAAUGAUAUUGCCACAUUUACAAACUAAAAUUAUGCUCAUUUUUGUUUUUAUGGAAUCUCAUAAUCUUGCCGUUGUAUCAAUUUCAUGAAUGGGUGUUUAAAGAACCAGUAGAUUUACUUUACCCUAAGAUGACCCAAAGAAUGACAUAAAACCUUAUUUAAUAAAACUGAAUGCAAUAGUGAUAACCAACCUUCCAACAUCAUUCCCAAAUUCAUCAAAUCAGAGACUCAAAUGACUCCAACAUAGACCCAAAACCAGAAUUACAUAAACAAAUUCCCCAACCACAGUGUACAUACACUUGGUUCAGACAUUUAGAAUUUUUUCGCGAGAUUUUUAACACAAGCAGAAUUUAAGUCCUAGAAAUUCAUAUGUGUUACAAUGACAACUUUAUACCCAAACACAAAUCUACAUCUAUGGAUGUGCAAGGCAGACCAGUGUCUAACAGAAGAAAAAAUAUACAAAUUGAUAGAACUUAAAAGCCAAUUACUGAAAAAUCGAUGACGAAUUACAUCAGCCUUUACACAUGCAUCUUCAUAUUCACUUCACAUUCAAGGGUUCAAAUAAGUACCUGGAUACAUCAAGGCAAAAUAUAUUUUAAAAUCAGCUUAUGGCAGCAAGGAAAUAAAAGGUUCAACAGCAAGGAACGACAGUAAUAAUCAACACAGCAACCUCUAUAUCCAGCCAGGUUUUAGCUUAAAAAAUAAGAAAAUCCCAAGAAAGGCCACUUCUAAACUAUUAGCCAAAGGAAAAUAAAACUUAAAACUAUAUGGUUUUUUUCAUAAAAGAUUUUUAGCCGCUUUCUCUUUUAGGUGUCCUGGACCUCUGCCCUAGAAUGAGGAAAAAUGAUCCUCUUGUAGAAAACUUUAGGACAGCACUAACCAGAUUUUCCUCCUUUUCUAAUUCUCCUUUUCACCCUUUUUUUUUUAGUUAUUUUACCUCCUAACCCCUUAAAAAUAUCGCAUUUCUUAGCAUGCAAGCUUUUUCUUAUCCUCUAGAAGCUUCUCCUUAACAGAAAAUAUUCCUAGACCCAAGAUACCCAAAGUACCCCUUGACACCCAUAUAUUUAACUCCCCAAACUAAACCAAAUAUGGGUCAACUGACCCAAGACCCAAAACUCAAACAAAUGGGCUUCUUCUACCCAAACCAAAGAUAACAGAAGCCUAUUAGGCAACCCAAAUAUAGUAAUCCCUGAACAAAGAAACCCAGGGGCAUGAUUAACCUAAUAUUAUGACCGAAAAAAGUAACUGGUUAAUUAACCCAGAAGAAGAAGAAGAAGAAGAAAGACAAAGAAAAAUCUAAUCCGAACAGAAAUUGAACCAAUCAACAAAACACUUUAACAUGAUAAGCACUAAUUUAAUACUAUUGAUCAUACUAAAUAAAUCCGGCCAGGCCGGAAAAUCAACAAAACAAAAGACAAAAAUAUAUUAAUCCAAAAUCAUGCAAUUAACCUAAGAAACCUAUUUUUAAAAAUGAACUAAUCUAAAGUAAACAUAUUAACUAGAAAUAGAUGAAAAGAAACAGACACAAAAAGAGAGGGAAGAAAUAUAUACUAAUUUGGCCGGAGACGUUUGAACAAACAAAGAGAAUCAACGAACGAUGACGCUUCACGAAUCUUGGCCGAUCAUUUUUGACUUAGCAGGAACCCGGUGAGCCUUGAAAUGAGCCAAAAUGAUGCUAAUCGAUUGUUCUUACCGAGAACAAUUGAUUAUCAUAUAUUUCGGCUCAAAUUCAACCUUGAAACCGUUUAAAACUCAGAAACUGGAAUGGAUUAGGUUUUUCAAUUUCUUCUGAAUCAUAUUUGAAAUUGGAACAAAUGGUUGAGGAUUUUGGGGGAACUCGUGAUGGAUAAUGAAAGAGGGGUUAGUGGUGAUUGUAUGGUGACAGCUUGGAGCGGUUUAGGGCGUCGUUGCCGGCCGGUGAGGUUUGAGAAUUUGGGGGCAGCUUGGGUUUCUAACUGGAUUUAGGAUAAGAGACUGAAUGAGGGGUUCGAAUGGGGAGUGGACCUGUUCGGACACUUAUAUGCUUAUGGGAAGGUUAGUUUCCAUCCGUUCUAUCAAAAAGAUCAACGGAUGGGAUUCGCUGGUCAAUGAAUGGUGUCGUUUGGUGUAGUGGGUGCUGGAUGGACGGGGUAAGGGGUAUUGGAUUUUUGUCUGAGGCUGAAUUGGGGGUGGG